rnacentral:snoRNA from 1 species
UUGGCUGAAGACACCUGAUCCAGGUAAUCAGCAGCAGAAAAGGCAGGAUUUCUGGAAAACCAGCAGGAGGUUGGGCCUCAAAGCCUGGAGUUUGACACAUCUGGACCCCACAAGA